UACGAAGGUGGCAAGCGUUGUUCGGAUUUACUGGGCGUACAGGGAGCGUAGGCGGUUGGGUAAGCCCUCCGUGAAAUCUCCAGGCUUAACCUGGAAAGUGCAGAGGGGACUGCUCGGCUAGAGGAUGGGAGAGGAGCGCGGAAUUCCCGGUGUAGCGGUGAAAUGCGUAGAGAUCGGGAGGAAGGCCGGUGGCGAAGGCGGCGCUCUGGAACAUUUCUGACGCUGAGGCUCGAAAGCGUGGGGAGCAAACAGG
rnacentral:rRNA from 1 species